AGCGGGGAGAUCAAGAAAAGCAAAUAGGUGGUGUCAGAAAGGUUGUCCAAGCAGCUGUCACUUUAGAGAAAUGAAUAUUGCCCUUUUACAGCUGGAGUAUAUUGACCUUUACAACCAACAAGUGAAAGAGGAAAAGCAACGAAGAAGAAGAUAAGCUUUCUCAAUAAUAAGUCUAUUAUUAUUCCUUUUGUCUGCCAUCCGCCAAAAAAAAAAAGGGCAAAAUGUCGGCAAGCCCAAAAUAGUGGCCUGGAAUGUUAUGUGGAAGGCGAAGGCCCAUAUGCCCAAAAGAGCCAGGCCCUAUGGCUUUAAACUCCAACCUUCAUCCCUCCACUUAAGGUUCACCCA
rnacentral:lncRNA from 1 species